UUCCUCAUAGUAAUUCACGUUCGAACAGAUAACCUGCCACUUUGUUGAGGUCCCGGGUCUCGGUGUGCCAUGUUGUUUUUUGUAAACGCAUGGUUUGUGGAGACGACAGAAGUGGCACGACCGACCGGUAAAAACUGUGCGUUCACGCAAAGGCUGUGGUGGUCGGAGGAGCGUAUAUUUUUUUCGAGGGUCUAGUUUUAGAGGGGGUUGGCGUCUGGUGGUACCGUCAGAGGUUCGAGCGGCGGCACAGAGAUGACGACGAAAGUCGUCGGUGCGAGCGUCGGCACGACGAGGAGGCAAGGAGGCCGCGUCUGCUGCCGCCGCGGGGCACCCCGCGCCCGUCGCCGCCGUAGGACUGGUGGCGGGACGGCAAGUCGGGGCGCCUGCAGGACGGGGAGGACGGCGCCGCGCACCGGUACCGCCGGGAGGCGCGCGAGGUGCCGCGCAGCCUGUAGAAGGGCCACAAGCACCCGCGCCGCUGCCGCCCCGGCCGCGUCCGCCCGUGGCGCGGGCACCCGACCUUCCCGCGGACGAAGAUGCUCUUGCUCCGGACCGACCAGAAGGUGUUGCUGAGGCCGAGGUUCAUGCCGCCGCCGUGCCAGGUGGAGUUCUGUUGCUUUCGUGUAUCGACCUGAACGUACCUAGACAUACACAAACGUUGAGGUAUGGCACAAUGUACCCUAAUGAUGAAAGAUCCGGCACUCGUAUGGGAACUUUAGUUUCUUACCCUUUCGUUCCGCCUUAUACUGAUACACUUUGUAUUACCUCACAGGUAGAAGGAGUACGGCAGUCCUUGUUAGCCCUGUGAGUCUCGUGAGACCCUACAAAAGGGAGAAAAGUGUUUAUGACCUACCCCGCUCUUACGUUUGGAACGUAAAGAGUUUUUCGUAUACCCACGCUGGAAACUCCUUGCCGGUUUUGGUACCCAAAGUCUUAAUUUAGGCCUACUGUAGGUUAGACCUCUAAAAAACCAAAAUAGUUUUUAGGCACCUGCGACCCCACCAAAACUUUGGGAACUCUUCACCCAAUGGCCUCGAAUACGUCCGGUAUGACGUCAAACGGACUCCCUGAGACUUCCUUUCGACACCCAACCUCUUAGACCAGUACUUUUACUCCUCCCUCUCCUAUAAUAACGACAGAACGGUACCCUUCUUACCACCCUCAAACUUUGUUGUUUCCUACUAAGCUUAGGAGUCUAACGUAACGAAGGUAAUGCAGUUCUAAAUGCUCGUUUUAAAUUACUCUGUCGUCGAACCUAAAUACGCUUUUUUUACUUACCCUUCGGAAUACCCAUAGUAUUAUACUAAAAGUCAACCUAGCUAUGAUAUUCAUUGUUGAUAGGUGGUGGUAACCUACGAGUGCACCAACGUAGACAAUACUGACACACCUUGUUCGAAGUUGGUCUGAUGCGCCGAUCGUACACCUGUCUUCGGGAAUUGUUCGCCGACCCUUGAUUCCCAGAACUAGAUGGACUUUAGUAUCACCUUAGUCUCUUUGCACCCUACUGUAAACUGUUUAACGAUUGUUAAGGACUCUUUCUAUUAACCCAGAUAUGACUACCGGUUAGUCGUAGAACACACCGGAUGCAGGAGUACUACAUGUUCCUCCGACCUGAGAAACUUGGUUAAAGGUCGAGAUAUCUUCAGUGCCUCAAGUGCUAUUUUCUACGAAUGUAGGACUUGAAGAAACUUCGGUUGUACUGUGCCGAAGGCAGCACCACGUUGUUUCUGCUGUGACACUUCGAGGGCAAAACGGUUUAGUUCCCGUCCAUAGCUUACCUUGACGGUCCUAUGUUGUGGUACCUUGGCAUGCGAGUGUACUUACUUUCCACACGUAGCGACGGAGGCCUGAUGCACUCCCUACUCUUGACGACUCAUGAGUAUAAAUUGACACGCGGGUACGCUAAACAAACAUGAGGGAAAAUCAGUCAUGAAGUCGACAUGUAUAGUGCCAUCCAGACCUUAUAAAAGGUACUACGUGUGGCCGGACGACGCUCCAUACUAGUUGAAGGAGCUUAUUCCUUCCGGUGCCACCGUGUUAACAUAUCAUUUUUCGAGACGUAGACCGAGCGUCGACGACAGUACAAGACUUUUGUAAGUAUCACAAAAACAGUCUUUUAUCUAUGUGCAAACUGUUUCUACAUACACGUGUCAACAUAAGUCGACUAAUCUUUACCAACUUUUGGAUACAUGUGGUACAUCUUCACGAUAAACCAAACCGAGCAUAACAAGUUAACGGUAGGAUACUCGCCACAUUUUCGAGGUUCAACUUAACAACCAACGACAAAACAGCAUUAACUAUGUAGUUACAUGUUAUACUAAUAUAACCCAGUACGACCUAAGCUCAGUAGACUGUAUACGAGAGACGCCGUCGUUUAGAUCGCUCGACUUGACCGCUCAAGAAUCAACUGGGUGAAGUGAGGCGUAAAGUUGGGACCGUACACUGGACUGAACACUACCAACUUAGUCCGCCCAUGGGGCAGCGGGUGCCGGCCGUGCGUACCACGUAGUCGUAGCAGGCACUCCCACUCGACGUUCCACCUCUUGCGGCAGUCCUCCCUCGCCGCGCGGGCGAUCGCGCUCGACCUUGGCCUCCGCUUCCUUCAAAACAGAUUCCUUAAAUACCUGUAGUUGCACCUACACAGGGGAGGCAACACGGGGCGGGCGCAGGCGGGACGACGGUAGUUCCUUCGGCGGUAGGCGGGGCGGGCACUGACUGUUACUAGGUUGCAGGCUCACCCGCUAAAACCUACCGACCUGCGUUGGCCUCCGCGAUCUCUGACACACUGUGAGUAACGUUGAGCUUGCCCACGCCUGUUCGUACCCAUCGCGGCCACGGGCCAGACGGGUCCGGGGCGAGCUGCUUUACAGCAUCAUCCUGCGCUAUGUAAAAAACGAGGCAAAACAUAGCGAAGAAAGUAAUAAGCGG
rnacentral:rRNA from 1 species